AUAUGUUAUAAAGAUGACAUAAAUGGAAUUUUGAAUAAUGAAACAUUAGAAGAAGCGACAUUAGAAAUAAUAAAGCAUUUUUGAAGAUUGAAAUUUAUAAAACAUAAAAAAGUGGAGGAAAUCGCCGGACUUCCGCCCUUCACUGGGGAUGGAGGGCGGGGCAUGUCGGAGUCGAACCGACUAAAACCUCCUGUCGCUCAAAAACCAGCAUCCAAACCUCGCAUGAGGCAGAGCUCAUAAAAAGGCAAAGGGGGGAAAGUGAAGCGUUUAGUGUGGAACACAUCUCUCCCAUCACCCUCCCCCUCGGGACGCCGGACUGGCGGUCGUCGGCGCCACGACCACCAGACCUCUCGUUUUACUAGGCUAAACUUUAUUUUGAUGUAAAUAAAAUAAUACAUUAUACCUAACUAUAAAAAACUUUGAAAAGUCUACAAUUGCUUGAGUUGACUACUGGUGAUUGAUUACUGGUGGUAGGACCUCUUGUGAGUCCGCACGGGUAGGUACCACCGCCCUGCCUAUUUCUGCCGUGAAGCAGUAAUACGUUUCGGUUUGAAGGGUAGGGCAGCCGUUGUAACUAUACUGAGAUCUUAGAACUUAUAUCUCAAGGUGGGUGACGCAUUUACGUUGUAAAUGUCUAUGGGCUCCAGUAACCACUUAACACCAGGUGGGCUGUGAGCUCGUCCACACAUCUAAGCAAUAAAAAUAAAAUAAAUAAAAAGUUGAGUCAACGAAUGUCUUCGAAUGAACACUUAAAAUUCUGAAUAUGUAUGAUCAAAGUAAUUAGACAAACCUUUCAAAUAUUUAACCAAAUUUUUUAUUUAACGUGUUUUAAUUUAAAAACGCUACUACAUAUUAAAUUUACUCUGAACA